CCACAGCCGCGGGCUCUGCCGUCCUUCGCAUCUGGCCGGCAGCUAGGACAACCAUGGCGGGCCGCCACCGCCUCCUGUUGGAAAACGCGCAGCAAGUGGUGCUGGUGUGUGCCCGCGGAGAGCGCUUCCUGGCCGGGCCGGCGCUGCGCAGCCUGGCGGUGCUGGAGGGCGCCAGCCUGGUGGUGGGCACUGAUGGGCUCAUAAAAGCGAUUGGCCCUGCUGACGUUAUCCAAAGACAGUUUUCCGGAGAGACUUUUGAGGAAAGAAUUGACUGCUCGGGGAAAUGCAUCUUGCCAGGUUUGGUGGACGCGCACACACAUCCAGUGUGGGCUGGGGAAAGGGUCCAUGAGUUCGCCAUGAAGUUGGCAGGGGCCACGUACAUGGACAUUCACCAGGCCGGCGGAGGGAUCAACUUCACGGUGGCGCACACCCGCCAAGCCUCGGAGGAGGAACUGUCUCGCUCCUUCCAGCAGCGGCUGCGGUGCAUGAUGAGGGCCGGCAGCACGCUAGUGGAGUGCAAGAGCGGAUACGGCCUCGACCUGGAGACGGAGCUCAAGAUCCUGCGUGUAAUCGAGCGCGCCCGGCGGGAGCUGCCCCUCAGCCUCUCUGCCACUUACUGCGGGGCUCAUUCAAUACCCAAAGGAAAAACUGCAGUUGAAGCUGCUGAUGACAUCAUCAGUAACCACCUGCCAAGGCUGAAGGAACUUGGUCAAAAUGGGGAACUACGUGUGGACAACAUAGACGUGUUCUGUGAGAAGGGCGUCUUUGAGCUGGAUACUACCAAAAGGAUUCUCAAAGCCGGGAAAGAGAUGGGCUUACAGAUCAACUUCCAUGGGGAUGAGCUCCACCCAAUGAAGGCUGCUGAGCUUGGGGCUGAACUGGGAGCACGGGCAAUCAGCCACCUGGAGGAAGUAAGCGAAGAAGGCAUUGCCGCCAUGGCUGCGGCUAGGUGUUCUGCAGUCCUUCUGCCCACCACGGCCUACAUGCUGAGGCUGAAGCAGCCUCAAGCCAGGAAGAUGUUAGAUGAGGGAGUCAUAGUUGCUCUGGGCAGUGAUUUCAACCCCAAUGCAUACUGCUUUUCGAUGCCAAUGGUCAUGCACCUGGCCUGUGUGAACAUGAGAAUGUCCAUGCCAGAGGCCCUGGCCGCUGCCACCAUCAAUGCGGCUUAUGCUCUGGGGAAAUCUCACACACACGGAUCUCUGGAGGUCGGCAAGCAGGGGGAUCUCAUCAUCAUCAGCGCAUCCAGUUACAGAGCUGCUCAAAAAUAAGGUGGAGUGAUUCAGGAAGAUAUCCCAAAAUGGACCACUGGCCUCUACACACAGCCACACAGAUGGGAGCAUUUGAUUUACCAGUUUGGAGGCCAUCAUGAAUUAAUUGAUUACGUUAUAGCUAAAGGAAAAGUCAUCUAUAAAAAGUGAUUUGGGCCAAUGAGACGACUCAGUGGGUUAAGUCUCAGCCUGGUGGCCCGAGUUCGAGCCUGGGACUCACAUAGCAGAAGGAGAGAACUCCUAAGAGUCACCCUCUGACCCCACACACUCACGUGGUGUGUGCCUGACACACCCCUCACCUCCACAGAAAUAAUGUAAUAAGAUAAAAAUCUACCUGAAAAAUGAUAGAUCUGGACGAACAGAGAAGACACUGUCUCUGCAUCAAAUGCAUCCAUGUAAGUGAAAGCACUUCCGUGGCUUGCCAGAACUGUGUCACGUAAGCCUAAUCACGUGUCAAUGCUUUACUCUUCACUUACUUGGCUUGAACCUGUUAUAUACCUGGAUGUGUAAGCAGGUAAAGCUAUCGUGGUGAAACGAAGAGUUGUUUUUCACAGAUUGGCUACAGAUAUUCUGAGACAUGAUGAGAGCGCUCAGAAAUUCCUUUGUGGGAGAAACACACUUGGCCUGAGAGUUCUGUUUUGUUUCUGUGAACACUGGGCUAGUGCUCUGGCCUGACGAGGCCAACGCUACAAUUCCUAAGGAACAGACAGACUCUUCUCUCUCCACGGUUUGUCUUUUAAGAUGCUUUCUAGUCAGUCAGGGCCUUCUGGGCCAGAGGUGUCCUUCCAUCUUUAAAAUCCUGUCAGCCUUUGGAAUAAAGCUUUGCCACAGA